AAAAAAAAUAUCUACGAGUAUUUUAAAAUUUUGGGUCUCAAUAUGUAGUUUUGUAUAAAUGUUCUUCUUCUCUCUUCACCUUCGAGUUUCUUUCAUCACUUCCAUGCUCGUGUAAGAAAUAUCAAGUUAUGUCACUUUCGUAUGAGGUGGAGAGAAGUCGUGCAGGUAGUGACAAAGUAGGUUUCAUGUGAAGAUUUUGGAGUGAUCCAGCGGAGCUAAAUUGGUGGAAUCAGUAAACUCUUGGGGGUGAAUCACAUGGAAGGCAGUGGCGAAAGUGUUCAAGGUGAAUCACGUGUUCAGGCUCACGACGUUUCUCUGUCUCCAUCAUUGAGGGUUGUCGCUGCCUCUUCAUCAUCUCGUUGAACUACAGUUCAAGCAUGUUUAUUUCGGUCAAGCAGUGAUUGGACCCUCUCUGGACCCACUUCAAAGAAAGCUCCAUAGGAGUGAAGGUAGGAGCUAACCUAGGUUCUUUGGAAGGUCUUUGGAAGCUCAUUGAAGGUUGCAGGGUGUUCCAUCUAUUUCUAGGAAGAAGAUGCAAAUAAUCACACCUAAUGUAAGAGAAAUUGACCUUUAUUUUGUGUUUUGUGAUUGCUAUUUUUAUGAGGAAUUGGUUGUGUUGUUGGUUUUGAGAAAUUUGGUUUAGGAAAAUUGAUCAAAGCUACAUGGUGCAAAGGUUAGCUAGAGUAUAAUAUGAUAUUUUGUGUCCUUGGUUUCAACGAGUCUUGAUUAUUUGUAUUUAAUUUGCAGUGUUGACGUCAAUUGGGCAACUAUGAGCGUGGAUAUUAUGUAAUAAAACACAUACAUACCAUUAUUUGUACAAACUGAAUCAUGGAAUAAGAUCUUUAAUGAUUCAUCUCCGGUAGACAUUGAAGACAUUAGAAGGAACCGGGCUUCUUUUAUUAUAAGUGUUAGUAGAAACUUG